rnacentral:rRNA from 1 species
CACGUAGGGUGCGAGCGUUGUCCGGAAUUAUUGGGCGUAAAGAGCUCGUAGGCGGUGUGUCGCGUCGGCCGUGAAAACCUGCAGCUUAACUGUGGGCUUGCGGUCGAUACGGGCAUCACUGGAGUUCGGCAGGGGAGACUGGAAUUCCUGGUGUAGCGGUGAAAUGCGCAGAUAUCAGGAGGAAUACCGGUGGCGAAGGCGGGUCUCUGGGCCGAUACUGACGCUGAGGAGCGAAAGCGUGGGGAGCGAACAGG